rnacentral:rRNA from 1 species
GAUGAACGCUGGCGGCGUGCCUAAUACAUGCAAGUCGAGCGAACAGACGAGGAGCUUGCUCCUCUGACGUUAGCGGCGGACGGGUGAGUAACACGUGGAUAACCUACCUAUAAGACUGGGAUAACUUCGGGUAACCGGAGCUAAUACCGGAUAAUAUAUUGAACCGCAUGGUUCAGUAGUGAAAUACGGUUUUGCUGUCACUUAUAGAUGGAUCCGCGCCGCAUUAGCUAGUUGGUAAGGUAACGGCUUACCAAGGCGACGAUGCGUAGCCGACCUGAGAGGGUGAUCGGCCACACUGGAACUGAGACACGGUCCAGACUCCUACGGGAGGCAGCAGUAGGGAAUCUUCCGCAAUGGGCGAAAGCCUGACGGAGUAACGCCGCGUGAGUGAUGAAGGUCUUCGGAUCGUAAAACUCUGUUAUUAGGGAAGAACAAAUGUGUAAGUAACUAUGCACGUCUUGACGGUACCUAAUCAGAAAGCCACGGCUAACUACGUG